GUUGGAGGACGUCAUUAGCACCCUUCUGGCAGCUGCAGUGGGGUCUUGACCCACUGGGACACAUCUUCUAGGGUCACCCACUCAUUUAAUGCUGGCCCGAAAUGGCUCACUUCUCACCAGUCCGUUAUAGUCCACUUGGGCAGGACUGUGUGCAGGCAAGAGGCGUUCUGGUCAUCUGGGAAGUCUGACUAGCUUUCAUCAGCUCCUUACCCCUCAGGUGACAAUCACUCUCUCCAGCUCUUAGCAACUUAGAGCUAUCAGCCUCUGUGGAGAGUUACAGAUGAUUGUUCUGAGCUAUUUUUACAAAUUUAACCCAACACAAAGUGAAUUCUAAUUUGCUGUAGGUCAUGUCCAUUCAUUCCCUGGCAGCCCAGGCCUGUCUUGCUGACCCAGUUGGAGGAGCGGCACACUUGGCCCAAUCUUAGGGCCAGAAGCUGGUGUCUUGGGCUGAGAAUGGAAAGCAGGGUCCACUUCUGAGUGGCAAUGACUCUAGCUAAGGAAACUGGACCCGGUGAUUAUAAAAACAGGAAAAGACUCCAAGCUAGGAAAUGCUAUUUGGAAUAUGGGGAACCCCAUCACCUAAUAGAACAAUCCUGUUCCUAAACAAGAGGAGAUGUUGGUCCAAGUCCUAGGCCACAUAGGUCACAAUUGUUUUUUUACCUUCAGUAGCUUUUAUACUCACGUUAAAGUUAGCGCUUUCAUAUUUCGGCCAUUCAAAGAGCUCAGUGCCUCUUCCUCUGAGUUUCUGCAAACUAUGCACAGCAUCUCAGAGGGUGGCAUACAAAACUAUUUUUCUAACUAUAGCACAGGAAGUUUGGGGUGGGGGAGGCUUGGGAUAUACCUACAUGUAGCCAACGACUUAUUUUCCCACCUUGAGGGAUGAAAGGGAGACUGUAUACCUGAGUUUAAUUCGCCAUUGGAUCUCUUGUACCAGAAAAAACACAUAUCAAAUAUCCAAGAAGUAAAAUUGAUCACUAGCUUAAUCUGGGGACUCACUAUAAGGAAGGGUCACUUUGACUAGAACACAGAUACCUACAAAUACAAUGUGAGCUGAUUUCUUGGCAACCUUUAAAAUGUUCUGGGCAGCACAACUUCUAGGUCUGUACAGUUGAUGUAAGUAUAAUUAAGUAGUGAAAUUGUAUGGUAUAUACCUAUAUGCCAAUAGUGUAUACCUAUAUGUGCAGGAUUUGCUAAUAUAACCAUUUCAAUAAAAACUUAUUG
rnacentral:lncRNA from 1 species